rnacentral:rRNA from 1 species
UACGUAGGGUGCAAGCGUUGUCCGGAAUUAUUGGGCGUAAAGAGCUCGUAGGCGGUUUGUCGCGUCUGCCGUGAAAGUCCGGGGCUCAACUCCGGAUCUGCGGUGGGUACGGGCAGACUAGAGUGAUGUAGGGGAGACUGGAAUUCCUGGUGUAGCGGUGAAAUGCGUAGAUAUCUGGAGGAAUACCGGUGGCGAAGGCGGCAUCCUGGACCGAUAUUGACGCUGAUGAGCGAAAGCCAGGGGAGCAAACGGG